UAUCUGUAUCUGUUCACCUUUUAUUGUUUUAUGUGUUUUGUGUCAGUGCAGUGGAGGCGCAAAAUCAGCACACCAUCAGCAAAACGCUCGUAGUCGCUGUGGGCUUCAACUACCGUGUACAUUUAGUCGAGAAUACCUGACUACAGAAUGACAAAGUAGCACAACAAACCAUUAUACGUAAAGGAAGCGAAACUAGAAGAAAAAUGUGGUUAUGUUUCCGUCUACCUGUCAGUGUUCAAAAUGACGGGGAAAAAAAACCCUACAAUUUCUUGAAAUGAUAGCGUGAAGUUGGGCUUCAUCGUGUCUUGGCGCAAAACUCUGCUUGGGUGCAACGGUUUUGCUGUGUGAAGAAGAUGAUGACAUCAUCGAUGGGAAGUUGCGCUACAGUAUAUCCAUGCAGACCUCCACAUGCGGUCACUAAUUAGCUGCCCUGAAGCAGCACACGAUCUCUCUGAUGAGGCCGCGUAGGAGGACAAUCAAAAAGACGAGGUGGGGUCACCUCCCACCGAUAACAAUGACGGGAAACCAGCGCACUCCUUGAAGGGCAGAGAUUCCCAGACAGUAGCGAGCUGACAGAAAGGCUCUACAAAAAAAUCCAGCCUCAAAUGAAUUAUAGUAGCUGUCGCUAAUCUCCACUAAAGG